UGCCAUUUCCCUUUCCUCUCCCACGCGUGCCGAAGCCCGACGCCGAGCCCUAACCGUCGGAGCUCUAACCGGCGACCCCGGCGGUUUUCCUCUCUCCCUCGUGCCUAAUCCGUGACCAAGGGAAGAAGUCGACGCCACUCCACCCAGCGCCGCCGGUCCAAAAAGCCCUAGCGCCGGUGCCCUAGCGCCCAGCAGUGCUCGGCAUCUCCUGGCACAACCUGACCUCUCCCUCUCGGUGUGUUGCUGUCGCGUCGCCGCCGGCCGAGCUAUUCUCCUCAGUCCUACUUCUCCGGCCAACUUCUCCUCUCGGACUUGCGAUCCCCUCAUUUCUUUCCUCACCGGCGCACAUCUUCGACCAGGGGCAGAGCCGAGCCCUAGCCUCGCCUUCUUCUGGUUUUCUUGCGUUGUGCCCUAGGUUUUCUCUUGCUGUUGGAUCCGAACAAAACAGUAGUGAGUAUCAGACAGGAGCAAGCAGUGACGAGUUCUUCUUGUGUCUCUGCUUGAUAGUGCCGAAGACAAUACCGAGCUGUGUUUUAGCCGGAUCUUGGAGGGUACUAGAAUUCCAGAAGAGGAUAAAUUGCUAUGGGGGUUUUCUUAGAUCUGGCAGUCACGGCUUCCAGCAAAAUUCUUUGAUUUCCAACCAAGAACGGUUGUGGAAAUUGAGGAUUUUGACGCGAGACGAGUAUCUCGGAGUCAGAUUGGACCUUUCUAUUUUCGGAGGCGGG